AUACCCGCAGCCCAAGUGGUGGUCGAUAUUAUUGAGUCUAAAACGUUCGUAGCCGGUUCAAUAAAUCUCUGGGUAAAUCGGAGGGCUUAACCCUCCGAAUUCCGGAGAGACUGUUGAACUUGGGACCGGGAGAGGCAAGAGGUACUUCUGGGGUAGGGGUAAAAUCCUGUAAUCCUAGAAGGACCACCGGUGGCGAAGGCGUCUUGCUAGAACGGAUCCGACGGUGAGGGACGAAGCCCUGGGUCGC
rnacentral:rRNA from 1 species